GCGGCUGUGGUGAAAUUGGUAGACACUGGGGACUUAAAAUCCCUUGCCUUCGGGCGUGCCGGUUCAAGUCCGGCCAGCCGCACCA
rnacentral:tRNA from 1 species